rnacentral:lncRNA from 1 species
AGGGUCCAUGAGCCCCAAGCGGAGAUUCCAUCUAAACCCCUGCUUUAGAUGCGGGCACUGCAGAGCCACUCCAAGUCAUUUGUUCCAAGACCAUGUGUUAAAAUAAGCCUAUUUGUUGAGUGGCAUGAGGUUAAAGUUAGUGUCUUAUUUAUGUUUGUGUCACUGGUACCCAACUAGCACAUAGCAUAUGGUAGGAGCACAGUGAACAUAGCAGGGAUAUACAUGCAGUGUUCGAGAUGCUGGCAGGGUGUGAACAGGGUACCAGAACGUGGGCUUUAUGUAGGAUUAGAGUUAGAAGCAUUAGCAGCUGAAAAAUGGCAGGAAAAUGAUGAAAUCUGCAUGAUGGAAAAAGGGGGUCAGAGAUCUAAAGUCUAGAUGAAUGCAGAAAACAGAGCACUCAGGAAUAAGCUUCUGCUCACCACUCCUGGAGAAGUGUGACAUACAUGCAAACUUCUGCACAUCUGGGACUGAAGAAGUAGAUCUUUCACCUUAAAAUUACCCACUGAUAUCCACUGGGAGAGAGAACUCUCUCUGAUUUGAUGCUCAGCAAGAGUGACUCUCAUCUCCAGGAUUGCUGGUGGGAGGUCAAGUCUUCCUCCCCAGGAUGCUGCACUUGGAUGGACUUGAAAGAGUUCUGUUUGUUCCAACGUCUAUAAAAACAUCAUUAACUUGAGAUUUCCGACAAGGACAUCAGCACUGGGUGAAAAGACGCACACAUAUCCUGACUCAAGGGCCUGUAAUUCUAUCCGUGACGUGGUUCUCCAAGUCCAGCUUUGUUCAUCCCAGCUCAGAUUCCACAUUUGUCAGGCCCAUGCUCCUUAGCCUUUGAGUUUCAGAAUGGCUCUCCUAAAAGGAACACUCCUAUUUGUCCAGGUUGCGAUCUCAUAUUCACUCUGGGCCAGACCAACUACACAACUCCUUAAUUCUUCAGUUGGCCGGGAGUGAGGUUCCAGGAUGCCACAGCCCUGGGCAAUGAAGACAACAAGUUCAUCUUGAAUAGAUGGAUCUGAUUCACCUGACCUUAGGAGGAAUACACUGAAUUAUUUUUCAUGCUAGAGCAUAUUCCCAGGGCGCUGGGGCAGAGACCACGUCCUAAACCCAACUCAAAUGUGGGCUGUGCUCUUGGCUGAAGAAAAGCAUGGAAAGCAGUUGGGGACCUGCAUCCCCAAGACUGUCAGCCCUUCUCCAGGGCUAGCAACAAGCAGAGUGUAGCAGUGAGAAGAUGCUCUUGGCAGGCUCCAGAUAGCUGUGCCCUCAGCCCAGGAGGACUCAGCCAAUGAAGACUCAGCUAAUGAAAGCUCAGCAUGGAGGUGGCAAAGGGCUGCAGCCCCACCAAACUCUUUGCCUCCAGGCGCUGUGGUGGUGAAGAACUGAAAUACACAAACCUUGGGGCUUCCCCUUGUCCCUGAAACUGCAGAAGAUGCUGGCUCGGGAGAGCCCAGGUGAGAAAGCUGCUGCAGGAGCCAGAAACUUUGGCAAAGACUCUUUCUUUGCAAGUAAGAAAGCUAGUUGGGAAAGAGGACCAACUGUUCCUUCUAAAUUCCCAGGGAGUGGAGGGUACGUGAGGCCCUGUGAUUCAUUGGCCAGGAGUAUCUGCUCCAGCUGCCAGGCCAGAGUGAUCAAUCCAAAAGUGCUUCUGAAAAUGAGGCCAGACCCACAUUAAUGAAGCCUGAUUGCCUCAGAA